rnacentral:lncRNA from 1 species
UCUUCAUCUUCAACAUCUUCAUCUUAAAAUCGUUUUCUUUAGGUCCAAGUCAAGUGGCUAACUAAGUUUGAAGAGUAGAUAACCAUUUUUUAACAGUAGAUUACUACAUGGCUUAAUUAAUAUAUGUGUGGGAGCGAGAAGUGAGAGAGUAAGAGAGAGAGAGGAGUCAGAGAAGACAGUGGAUGGCGGUAGCGCUGCCGCUCACGGCGGCGGCAGUAGAGACACAGGCGGCGGCGGUCCAGGUUGUUCCGACGAGUGUCAAGGUAACCCCCCUCUCGCUUCCUUUUACCGUACUGAAGUCGGAUAAUGAUGGAUCAGGAUGAUGAUGCUGUUUUUUUUUUAUAUUUGAUUGAUGAUGAUGGAGUCGGUGGUGGCCGACGAUGGCAGCCGGCGAAGCAGCGGCACAGCGGCGACGAUAGUAAAGGUGGAGUCGGUGGUGGUCGACGAUGACGGUAAAGGUGGGGGUACGUCGGAGCUCCGAUCCGGUCGGCGACGGUAAUGUAGGUUCCGGUGACCCAUGUAAAUAUACCGAUCACCUUUAGAAGUGCUUAAGAUGUUUUUGGAUUGUUUUUUGGGUUUUGUUGGUUACAUGAUAUGUUGCUUAAGAUGUUUUUGGAUUUUUUUUGUUGGUUACAUGAUAUGGUAGGUCUUUGUUGUUUCCAUUGGGUUUUGUAAAACGUAAAAAUUUUAACGUAAAAUGUAAAAACGAUCCGUGAGGCUGAUGUCGACGGUGAUGGUCAGAUCAACUACGAGGAAUUCGUGAAGGUCAUGAUGGCGAUGUGAGAACCUUUAACAUCAAACCCAUCUUUUAUUUUAGAAAGAGGUAUUAAACACUUUCAGUAGAAAUUAAUGGAGUUUGUUGGGUGCAUUUUGUUUGAUCUUAUUUUAGAAAGAGGUACUCUACUUAGUUCCUUCUUUCAAGCCAUUCAUUUUCUUCUACUCUGAAAUUAGUUAUAAACCUUGAAUAGUUGGUUUGGU